rnacentral:rRNA from 1 species
UACAGAGGUCUCGAGCGUUGUUCGGAUUCACUGGGCGUAAAGGGUGCGUAGGCGGUCGGGUAAGUCUGAUGUGAAAUCUCACAGCUUAACUGUGAAACUGCAUUGGAUACUAUCCGGCUCGAGGAAUGGAGGGGAGACUGGAAUACUUGGUGUAGCAGUGAAAUGCGUAGAUAUCAAGUGGAACACCAGUGGCGAAGGCGAGUCUCUGGACAUUUCCUGACGCUGAGGCACGAAAGCCAGGGGAGCAAACGGG